rnacentral:lncRNA from 1 species
CACUCCUGUGUCCCGUCUGGCUUUGCUGUGCUUUGUUUCAGGAAGGAAAGACAGCAGAGAUAGCUCCCCGCUCACCCCCACUUCUAUUUCCAGUCCAGGUCACAGGCUUCUCCUCCUCUCCUGGGACCGGUGCUGGUCAGCACCCAUCAGGGUUUAGAGAACGUUCUGAGCUUUCAACAGUUCUGUGAGGUGACUGCUGGGGAACCAUUGCUGAGUGGGACAAGGGAGACACACAGAAACGCAAGUGAGCGUUUGAAGUCAGGGUGCUUGCUGCGUUCUUCUAAGUCACCUGCUCUCUGUGUGGGGCCAUGUGAGGCCUCAGCGUCCCCUAAUGAGGGCAAUGCACCCUCUGGAUGGGCACCCUUCUGCUUCUGCUCCACUGGUACACCCCAAACAAAUGCUUUCUCUCAGUGUAGCUGUUCUUCUGGGAGAAGCUUCCCCCUUAUUCUUCCUGCUUCACCAACAUGGCAGGAUGGAGAUGCCAUGUUCUUCAUGGUCCUGCCCCCUGGCACUAGCCGAUUGGUCCAGGUGAGAAGCCAAGCCCAGCUAGCUCAGCUGGAACCCUUCCCCAGGACAUUGAACUUUGCACCAGAGAGUAUGUUGCCUCUUGGGCAACAAAGGCCACACAAGGUCAGACUUGCAAGGCUUCGUGGGCUGUAUUUCUUAUCACAUGGACAAGAUGGAUCUUCAGUGACGGAGAACAGAGCUGACCACAGAGAAAAGCAGGCAUGAGAGAUGGAGGAAACUGGG